rnacentral:tRNA from 1 species
UCCCUGAUGGCUCAGUGGUAAAGAAUCUGCCUGCAAUGCAGGAGACUGAGGUUCGAUUCCUGGGUUGGGAA